rnacentral:rRNA from 1 species
GACGAACGCUGGCGGCGUGCUUAACACAUGCAAGUCGAACGGAAAGGCCCUGCUCUUGUGGGGUGCUCGAGUGGCGAACGGGUGAGUAACACGUGAGUAACCUGCCCUUGACUUUGUGAUAACUUCAGGAAACUGGGGCUAAUACAGGAUAGGAUCUCCUGCUGCAUGUUGUGGGUUGGAGAGAGUCGGCGGUUGGGGAUGGACUCGCGGCUUAUCAGCUUGUUUGUGGGGUAGUUGCUUACCAAGGCUUUGACGGGUAGCCGGCCUGAGAGGGUGAACGGCCACAUUGGGACUGAGAUACGGAGCAGAAUCCUACGGGCGGCAGCAGUGGGGAAUAUUGCACAAUGGGCGGACGCCUGAUGCAGAAACGCCGCGUGCGGGAUGACGGCCUUCGGGUUGUAAACAGAUUUCGCCUGUGACGAAGCGUGAGUGACGGUAAUGGGUAAAGAAGCAACGGCUAACUACGUG